rnacentral:RNase_P_RNA from 1 species
CCAGAGGGUUGGGCGGCCGCGUUGGCACCGCAAGGUGUCACCGAGGAAAGUCCGGGCUCCACGGAACGACGGUGCCGGGUAACGCCCGGCGGGGGCGACCCCAGGGAAAGUGCCACAGAGAGCAGACCGCCCACUGGUUCCCGGUUUUCGGACCGGGAACUGAGGGCAAGGGUGAAAGGGUGCGGUAAAAGCGCACCGCGCGACCGGUAACGGAAGCGGCAUGGUAAACCCCACCGGGAGCAAGACCGAAUAGGGACGGCACAUGCGCCUCGUUCCGGCGCGUCGUCCGGGUUGGUUGCUUGAGCGGCGGAGCAAUCCGUCGCCUAGAGGAAUGGUCGCACAGCCCUUUCGAGGGUGGACAGAACCCGGCUUACAGACCCUCUGGCAUC